AUGAGUUUACUGAGUGCUAGCCAGAUUAUUGCUAUUAAUGACUAUAUCAAGAAGUGCUUUAUACUUUCGCUUUUAUCUCUUUUUGGGUUACAAGCAUGCUCACCAAAUGUUCAUGAAAAUCUUAAAGCCAGGGAGUGUACACUCAAGUCUAAAGCAUCCUACCAAUCUAUGCUAUCUUUGGAUAAUAAUUUAAUUGUGCUUUUGGUCAUAUAUCACUACAGGUUAUCAUUGGAAAGUCUAAAAGUUGCACAGGAAGAUCUCGGCAAAUACUUUAAGCCCCAAAGUAACAAAGGUGAGGACAUAAACUGGUGGUAG
rnacentral:rRNA from 1 species